rnacentral:rRNA from 1 species
AGGACGAACGCUGGCGGCGUGCUUAACACAUGCAAGUCGAACGGAAAGGCCCUUUCGGGGGUACUCGAGUGGCGAACGGGUGAGUAACACGUGGGUGAUCUGCCCUGCACUUUGGGAUAAGCCUGGGAAACUGGGUCUAAUACCGAAUACACCUUGCUGGCUGCAUGGCCUGGUGGGGAAAGCUUUUGCGGUGUGGGAUGGGCCCGCGGCCUAUCAGGCUUGUUGGUGGGGUGAUGGCCUACCAAGGCGACGACGGGUAGCCGGCCUGAGAGGGUGUCCGGCCACACUGGGACUGAGAUACGGCCCAGACUCCUACGGGAGGCAGCAGUGGGGAAUAUUGCACAAUGGGCGCAAGCCUGAUGCAGCGACGCCGCGUGAGGGAUGACGGCCUUCGGGUUGUAAACCUCUUUCAGUAUCGACGAAGCGCAAGUGACGGUAGGUACAGAAGAAGCACCGGCCAACUACGUGCCAGCAGCCGC